rnacentral:lncRNA from 1 species
AUGAUGAUAGCAUAUUUGAAGAGCUGCAGGUCACCGAGCGACUCUAACAGCAGCCCUGCAGAGAUCUGCCCUGCAGAAGUGGAACACAACGGCCGGCCAGGCUGGGCCCCGUACGUACCGGGGAAGCGAGUGACUGCGCAGGCAGAGAGAGCUGCCCGCCUUCACCUGCGCCGCUCUGCUUGGCUCUCUGCUGGAGCUCCGUGUGGGAUUCUGGCCCAGGAGGGCGAAGGGAUCGGGGAUACGGCGGGAGGGGAAGGGAGGCAGGCUGGCUGGGAACCGGCUGGCAGUGUGCAUCAGGAUUCGUGCUUUCCGAGGUUGGCAUGGAUAUAAAAAUAAUUCAUGGAGGGAAGAGAUGGAAGUGCAAUGCACAGGCCAUAUGUUUGAAAGCCCUGCCCACAGCGGCUGGCUGCGGUUACCGGCGAAUGGUGCCACUAACAAGAUUAAAUUAUGGGACCCGACGGAGGCACAGAUACCAGGAAGAUUACCUCUAACUUCCAGCGUUUGAUAAAAUGUGGAGCAACCUAGGAACUUCACGCAUGCACAGAACUUCUGUUUUAAUCUGUAAAAGAUCAUCUUUACUCUGGUCCAUGCUUUUAGUGAUUCAGUUGCCAAAACUUGCUAAAUUCCAUUUUUUUUUUCCUCGCAAAUCUCAGUGGCCUAGAAAAUGCCUGUGUCAGGAUUUGAGAGAGAAUAUCUUUUCCAUAUUUUUCCAUCUUUGUCCCCUCAUAAAGAAUUUACUUUCUGGGAUGUCCAGGCAAUGUCUUUGCCUAAUGUUUGAAAAAGUGUCUGAGUGAUUUGCUUUUGUGCCAAGCGAAACUUUGGGACAUUUUGAGAUGUUUCUGCCAUUAAAGAUUUAAUCGGAAAUUUUAACAAGUAAAUAAAAUUCUAUCUCCUUUUACUCUGGCUGACUGAUUUUUUAAAAGUGUACUUUACUGUCAAAUAGACACCAAGCAAUACUCAGCUAGUUUCUUGAAGAGUAUCAAAUGAACAUUAUAAUGAUUACAUAUAAAUGUUUAUGGCUCCAACCAAAUUUAAGAAAAUAAG